rnacentral:rRNA from 1 species
GGGUUGUGAGGUUAAGCGACUAAGCGUACACGGUGGAUGCCCUGGCAGUCAGAGGCGAUGAAGGGCGUGCUAAUCUGCGAUAAGCGCCGGUAAGGUGAUAUGAACCGUUAUAACCGGCGAUACCCGAAUGGGGAAACCCAGUGUGACUCGUCACACUAUCAUUAACUGAAUCCAUAGGUUAAUGAGGCGAACCGGGGGAACUGAAACAUCUAAGUACCCCGAGGAAAAGAAAUCAACCGAGAUUCCCCCAGUAGCGGCGAGCGAACGGGGAGGAGCCCAGAGCCUGAAUCAGCAUGUGUGUUAGUGGAAGCGUCUGGAAAGGCGCGCGAUACAGGGUGACAGCCCCGUACACAAAAGCGCAUGUGCUGUGAGCUCGAUGAGUAGGGCGGGACACGUGGUAUCCUGUCUGAAUAUGGGGGGACCAUCCUCCAAGGCUAAAUACUCCUGACUGACCGAUAGUGAACCAGUACCGUGAGGGAAAGGCGAAAAGAACCCCGGCGAGGGGAGUGAAAAAGAACCUGAAACCGUGUACGUACAAGCAGUGGGAGCACAGGUUUACCUGUGUGACUGCGUACCUUUUGUAUAAUGGGUCAGCGACUUAUAUUCUGUAGCAAGGUUAACCGAAUAGGGGAGCCGGAGGGAAACCGAGUCUUAAUUGGGCGUUAAGUUGCAGGGUAUAGACCCGAAACCCGGUGAUCUAGCCAUGGGCAGGUUGAAGGUUGGGUAACACUAACUGGAGGACCGAACCGACUAAUGUUGAAAAAUUAGCGGAUGACCUGUGGCUGGGGGUGAAAGGCCAAUCAAACCGGGAGAUAGCUGGUUCUCCCCGAAAGCUAUUUAGGUAGCGCCUCGUGAAUUCAUCUCCGGGGGUAGAGCACUGUUUCGGCUAGGGGGCCAUCCCGGCUUACCAACCCGAUGCAAACUGCGAAUACCGGAGAAUGUUAUCACGGGAGACACACGGCGGGUGCUAACGUCCGUCGUGAAGAGGGAAACAACCCAGACCGCCAGCUAAGGUCCCAAAGUCAUGGUUAAGUGGGAAACGAUGUGGGAAGGCCCAGACAGCCAGGAUGUUGGCUUAGAAGCAGCCAUCAUUUAAAGAAAGCGUAAUAGCUCACUGGUCGAGUCGGCCUGCGCGGAAGAUGUAACGGGGCUAAACCAUGCACCGAAGCUGCGGCAGCGACGCUGAUGCGUUGUUGGGUAGGGGAGCGUUCUGUAAGCCUGCGAAGGUGGCCUGUGAGGGUUGCUGGAGGUAUCAGAAGUGCGAAUGCUGACAUAAGUAACGAUAAAGCGGGUGAAAAGCCCGCUCGCCGGAAGACCAAGGGUUCCUGUCCAACGUUAAUCGGGGCAGGGUGAGUCGACCCCUAAGGCGAGGCCGAAAGGCGUAGUCGAUGGGAAACGGGUUAAUAUUCCCGUACUUGGUGUUACUGCGAAGGGGGGACGGAGAAGGCUAUGUUGGCCGGGCGACGGUUGUCCCGGUUUAAGCGUGUAGGUGUGUGUUCCAGGUAAAUCCGGUUCACUUUAACACUGAGGCGUGAUGACGAGGCACUACGGUGCUGAAGCAACAAAUGCCCUGCUUCCAGGAAAAGCCUCUAAGCAUCAGGUAACAUCAAAUCGUACCCCAAACCGACACAGGUGGUCAGGUAGAGAAUACCAAGGCGCUUGAGAGAACUCGGGUGAAGGAACUAGGCAAAAUGGUGCCGUAACUUCGGGAGAAGGCACGCUGACACGUAGGUGAAGUGAUUUACUCAUGGAGCUGAAGUCAGUCGAAGAUACCAGCUGGCUGCAACUGUUUAUUAAAAACACAGCACUGUGCAAACACGAAAGUGGACGUAUACGGUGUGACGCCUGCCCGGUGCCGGAAGGUUAAUUGAUGGGGUCAGCGCAAGCGAAGCUCCUGAUCGAAGCCCCGGUAAACGGCGGCCGUAACUAUAACGGUCCUAAGGUAGCGAAAUUCCUUGUCGGGUAAGUUCCGACCUGCACGAAUGGCGUAAUGAUGGCCAGGCUGUCUCCACCCGAGACUCAGUGAAAUUGAACUCGCUGUGAAGAUGCAGUGUACCCGCGGCAAGACGGAAAGACCCCGUGAACCUUUACUAUAGCUUGACACUGAACAUUGAGCCUUGAUGUGUAGGAUAGGUGGGAGG